rnacentral:tRNA from 1 species
AUUUUUCUAUUAUAAAAAGUAAAUUUAACUUCCAAUUAAAUAGUCCUCAUGGGGAAAAAUA